AAACAUUCCUUAGAAAGGUUUUGAAAGUUUUUAAAAAAUGGUUUUUAAUGAUCAUAUAUUUUAACUCAAUAAUGCCAACUAUUGGUGUUUUUGCAAAUAACAGAAUGAAAUAUGUGCAUAAAUAUAUACGUAUAGGUAUUUUCAUUCAGCAUUUCUUUUAAUAGCAAAAAUAUGGAUGUUCAACCCUUGCAAAUUGGUUUAAUGAUUAGAUAAUUUUUUACUCCACCAAUUGAAAACAAGGACAACCUUUUCCCCUCCCCAGCAAUAACCAUCUGAUUCCAUGUAUUGCCUGGAUUUAGGUGUUCCCAUCAGAUUUAGCAAUACAUUCUGAAGCUAAUUAGAAGUUAUGUAAGCCAAUAGAAAGGUUUUAUGGGACAAGCAACAGUACAACAUUUUUAAUGCUGCCAUGAUUUAUCAUUUAGAUCCUUUUCUUCUCUUGGAUCCACAGUUCACACUUUAUAUGGCAUCUUCUCAUUCUACUUGUCCUAGACAUCAAACUCCUAUCAUUAUUUUCUCAUUUCUCCCAAGAUCAUAUUCUUUAUUACCUAGCAUGAAUUCAUCAAAGGAAGAACUUUGUUUCUUUAGUGAAAGUUAACUUUAAAGAAUGGGCAGUACAGUAUUGUUC
rnacentral:lncRNA from 1 species